AACCUCUUGUCGGAGUGCCAUUUAUGGCUGAGACCGUUUAUUCGGGAUCCGUUGAACCUGAUCAGGCUAACACCUGCGAAGGAAACAAGCAUGAUAAUCUU
rnacentral:ncRNA from 2 species